GCAAAAGCCCACCAUCCCCUCGCCGUAAGAUUACGACGGUGUCGAGUUUUUUUUUACGUUUGAUGACUUGACUCGAUGCCCUGCCCUCUUCCCCUCAUUUUUUUGCUAAAAAAACCUCCUCGUCUUUUGCCCACCUCCCAGUCUUUUCCUGAUCUGCUGCAUACGGUUUCGAUUGUAUUGACGGCGAACGGCGGCCUGGUGCUCGGUGGCGAUUUGGCCCGGAGUGAAGCCAUGUUUGGCAUAUGCUAGAGGGGCGGUCUGGUCUCGGCGUUGGGUGGUCGCUGGUCAAUUGGGGCGGCGUGGUGUGCGGCAUCUGCAUAGGUCUUGGGCCGCGCCAUGCACGGAGCUGGGGCUGGUGAUCCUACCGGAGUUGUGGCAGGUGAUCGCGGCAGCGCUGCAUUGGGCUACUACAUGACAACCUUGCCGCUGUUUGGAUUGAAGUUUGGUUGGCAUGAGUGCACGGGAGGAGGUGAGCAAGUCCAAUUUUAGUGAUUUCCGUUCCAAAAUUCCGAUUAGGUUCGUUUCCUUUGUGAUGUUCUUCCCAAGUUGAUAUCCGUGCAUCUGGGUGCUCCCGAUCUGGUUGCUCCUGCACCCCUUGAAAUCCCGAUUUGACUACCAGCCUAUGGAUCUAUGUUCUCCCGGUGGUGGAGUUGAAGGGGCUCCAGGCUAAGGACUUGACCGGCAAGCGGGAGGCCACCACAAUCAGCGGCCAUCUAGCCAUCUUUGCCUGCUUCAAUAAUUUUCAGUUGCUUCAAUUCCUAAUCUGGUUCGUAGUAGACGUGCAGAUAGUAGAAUCUUGUCUCCGAUAUGGUCGGCUGGUUACGGCGACUGUUCAGGUGAUGUUCACGGCAGCACUGGUUCGACCAUGACCACUUUGUGCUCUUCUCCACCACUGCUGCUUGCUCCGUUAUGCGCUGGGUUUCCCCCCGCUUUAUAAAUAAAGCACCAACACUUACAUCCAAGUAACCGAUACAAACGCACGCCACACAACCCAAGGCAAGAAACAAGAAUGCCGGGCACCGACACACAACUUCAACGACUACCACAAUGAGAGAUCGUCCGGGAAGAAGUGCAACGGACCACGCCGGACCGAGGGUUCCAAGACGAUGCCUCCAAGAAGGGCACGACCACGGACCGUCGCCAUCGUCCGAUCCAAAGAUCAGGUUUUCACCCGGAACACGACGGGAGGAGUGAGAGCACCACGACGGAGCCUACAGGGAGGAACACGACAUCCGUGGACGCCGCCACCGUCGACCCGUGUACGGACAGGUAAGUGAUGAACCCCGGUGCUCCACCCUACCGCUGCAUCCCCGGUCGGCCAACCACCUGCAACCAUGCCACCCAAGCGGCCGUGGUUGCACGCCCGCAUCCGAGUCGCGCAGUCCGCCUACAACCGACGCGACUCCCACCGCCAGGGCCGCCGCCCCGCCACCGGACCACCCCGAGAAGCCCCAAAGGUCACGUCUUGGACAAGAUCCAUGAGCCCAACCACCUCAGAACCGUCGGCGACCACAGCCUCAAGGGGAACCGAGCCCAGAUGGCCGGGGGAAGGGGGAGGAGGAGGAGGAGCCCCCGAGGCCGAAUGCCCAGAUCCGCAAGACAGCGCCGGCCACCGCCCGCUGCCGAGGAGGAGGGCGCACGGAACCGCCGAGCUGCAUCCAUGAGAGGCCACCGGGGAGGCCUUCCCGCGCCGAGCGCCGUCCAAACCCCAAAUUUAUAUGUUGCUAUUUGAACUGAAAUCUCAUUGUAAGUCUUGACAAGGUGAACGAUGCAAAAAUAGUGUACUGACUAUCUAAUCGUUGUUAGGUUUUCUCCUCUCUAUUUGAAGGCGAUGAUCUUGUGGCAAUUGGUUCCAUUUGACUUGGCGCCUGCACCACCGUAUACACAAGUUUCUCCAGUUUAUUCAGCUGGUUUCCUCUGUCAUAAUUUCAAAGAAAGGUGCUAGAUCCAAUUAGAUGAUGUAAAAAUCACUGCUAGAUUUCAGGAAUCUCUUACUGUCAGCAUUCUCAGGUAGCAGAGAUCGCCAAUCAUCGUUAAGAUUUUUUUUCAUGUUUUAGCGUAUAUGGUCAUUGUGGCAUCCCUUGCAUCAUCAUUGAAUCCACAUGUUCCAAAAAGUGCCCUGCAAAUGUACCAAAGAGUGUAUUAGCAUCAUCAUAUACCAUCGUAAGAUACUAUUACAAGUGAUAGUUUGAAGUAGAUCAUGCUUCCUCCUUCAUUAUCAUGUUGUUCUAACAUCUCGGUUUAGUUGGUCCAGAGAUACAUUUGCCAUUCAUGUUGAUUAUGCAGUCGAAGCUUAUCAAUUCAUCGCUGACUAGAAGCUUGUCAAUUAAUUUAAUGCUGAACUUUGUAGUUUUGAUGUAGAUAACUCUCUGCCUGCAAAACAAAAUGAAGUAGUUUAGCUCCCAUAUGAACGUGUAUUUAGAACAUUUUUUGGAGGUUGAGCUUCAAGAAAUUGUACUUCUUUUGCAUGUGCUUAUACCUCAGAUUUUUUAAUGACAACUGAAAGAUUUUGUCUCCAGUGUGAUCUCGUGAUUAUACUACUUGUUCAAUACAAUGAAAUCUUACCUUGGGGAAUACUUUUCUUUUCAAGAUGGAAUUUUGGUACUUAGUAUACUCCUUACUGUCUUGUUUUCUGGCUGGGCUCAGAAUAUCAUUUUCUUUAUCGAAUGCUGUGACUAAUGGAAUUUUUAGUGCACACCCCGGAAAUUUUAUUUAUUACUCCAAUUAUCUGUGUUUUCAUUUCUUGUUUGAAACUCCUCGAAAUCAAAAUUACUAACGCUUCACCAUCUGGUGAAGAACGGAUGCAUCAACUCUCAUUUGAUUCACAAAAUGAUAAACUGUCCCGUUACCCCCCCCCUUCGGUAUUAUUCAUAUACUUGGUUUACAAUUUAAAAUUAUGAUCUAUUUUCCUAUUUUAAAAUCCAUACUCAAUGUUGCUAAACACGUCCAAAUGGUGAACAGGUUUUUAGUACAGUACAUGAAAGGCUAAUUUUAUUCUGGUGAAGAGAUAUCCUAGUUUUUUUCAUACUGCAAUGGGCUUGAGUUGUUUCUGAUUUAAAAUUUUUAAUGUGGCGUUCUCAUGCAGGCCUUAGUUUCUUGGUUUUGUUGUUCGCUGCAGUCCUGGUAUAAUCCUUUGUUUUUCUAUAUUUGUUUACCACGUCUGUAUUUACACCUGACUUUGUGCAUUGUGCCAUUAAUGUUACAUGCCUGAUCACGGGCAGCUGUGUGAGCAUUGUACAACUGCACUGAAAGUAAAAGUUGCUACAGCAAUUAAGCGCGACCUAACUAUGGCCUGCGAUGUUGUUGAGCAAUAUAAAAGCCCGACAUUACCUAUUAUUUGUUCAACAUCAUCCUAAAAAUGCAUAUUAGCUCCUAAAAUAAGUUUGUAGAGCACGAAUUGCAAUCUACUCCUAAAGGAGUACAAAAUUAAUGAGCUGCCUGCUGAACCAGCAACCGAAGAUGUGGGUGGUGCAGUAAGACAUACGUCAACCAUCUAUUACUUAAACAAGACUCCUAUUUGUCCAAUUUUUACUUUUGAUUAGGGAUUGCAUAUUUAAUAUUUACUUUUUCCAGCAAGUAAUUUUUUCCUUGGGUUUUGCUUCGGAUUUUAUAUUAUGUGAAGUGUUGGUUUUGCUCAUCCUUAACCCGUUCUUUCUCCCCCCGCAAAAAAAACCAUUCUUGUAGAGCUACGUAUUAAAAUAAGAUUAAUUACUUCUUCCUUGGGGUUUCUCUACCACUGCCAUGGACAAGCGAUCAUUUAGUUCGUUGUCAUAUUUAUUUAGUUCCUUGUAAUAUGUCGUUGAUGGAUUAUGGAGUGUACAUUUCAAACUAGUGUUCCUCUUUUCAGCGUACAGUUUUCCUUUCUUACAUUUUCUAAUGCAUCAGGACAGAAACAGGACAGAUCGAGCUGCAGAGGUGUGUGUACAUGUAACAAGUUUCCGAGCUCUGGAACUUUUUCGGUAAUCGAAUCGUUGUUGAAACUACAUUGUCAUCCAGAUGAGGAUGUUCAGAAGGCUAACUGGAAGUGCAUCUUGGCAGAAAUUGUGGGGUCAUGCAGAUGGGGAUUUUGCAACCUCUAAUUGGAAAUUCAAAUGUCUGCGUUUUGGCCAGACCAGUGCCGUACUCAAGAUUGACGUGAGGCUGUUCUACUACAGAAAGAUAGUUUUGUCUACAGAUAUAGAUUUGUUUAGAUGCUACUUUGUCUAGCAGCCUAUUGAAUUUAUUGCUUUAUGAUUUAUGUGUGAUGAACUCACAUCGUCUUUGUUCGUUGUAAACUGGUCUAGUUAUGUCACGAAAUCCAAGUGCUUUUCGAGUAGUUCUUAUGUGGUGGAAUGCACAA